CGCGGUGAGGGCGAAGUAGUCGAGCCACGUGCCUUGGGAGCACGGGAAAGCAGGUGCGAGUCCUGCCAUCGCGACCA
rnacentral:tRNA from 1 species